UACAGAGGUCCCAAGCGUUGUUCGGAUUCAUUGGGCGUAAAGGGUGCGUAGGCGGCGCGGUAAGUCGGGUGUGAAAUCUCGGGGCUUAACUCCGAAACUGCAUUCGAUACUGCCGUGCUUGAGGACUGGAGAGGAGACUGGAAUUCCUGGUGUAGCGGUGAAAUGCGCAGAUAUCAGGAAGAACACCCGUGGCGAAGGCGGCUCUCUGGGACGGUACUGACGCUGAGACGCGAAAGCGUGGGGAGCGAACAGG
rnacentral:rRNA from 1 species